rnacentral:rRNA from 1 species
UGGGGAAUAUUGCACAAUGGGCGCAAGCCUGAUGCAGCCAUGCCGCGUGUAUGAAGAAGGCCUUCGGGUUGUAAAGUACUUUCAGUCGGGAGGAAGGUGUCAAGGUUAAUAACCUUGGCAAUUGACGUUACCGACAGAAGAAGCACCGGCUAACUCCGUGCCAGCAGCCGCGGUAAUACGGAGGGUGCAAGCGUUACUCGGAAUUACUGGGCGUAAAGCGGACGCAGGCGGUUGAUUGAGUCAGAUGUGAAAUCCCCGGGCUUAACCCGGGAAUUGCAUCUGAUACUGGUCAGCUAGAGGCUUGUAGAGGGGGGUAGAAUUCCAUGUGUAGCGGUGAAAUGCGUAGAGAUGUGGAGGAAUACCGGUGGCGAAGGCGGCCCCCUGGACAAAGACUGACGCUCAGGUGCGAAAGCGUGGGGAGCAAACAGG